rnacentral:lncRNA from 1 species
GGUGCUCUCUCGCUUCCCCAUUGAUAGUGAUUUUGAGCCAUGCUCUCGAUAAGCCGAUAGGCUUCAUUGUAGGCCUUAUCCAUUAGUGCGCCACCAGCUGCGGCGUCUAUGGUUAAUCUUGUGUUGUACAAGAGACCAUUGUAAAAGGUAUGGAUGAUUAACCAUUCUUCGAGCCCAUGAUGAGGACAUAUCCUAAUCAUUUCUUU